CAGGUUCUUAGAGAAGUUGGCUGAGGCAUGGAAGGCACACCGACCAACACAGAGCCCAGCUCCAGCCUGGGCUCCGGCGGCAUGCCCCUGGGCCUUUGCCUGCUCACACGUGUGACCUUGUGAGAGAAAGUUGAAGCUCCCUGGCUGUCUAGUGCCAGGUUUCAGGCUUUUUGGACAGCAGUUCUCAAGACUUGAUGUGAGACCUGUUUCAGUUCUGCCCGGAGUGCAGAUCUUAUCAAAAUCGAUUAUUCACCAGCCAUGUAAAGGAAGAAUUCUGAAUAAUUUGUACCCGGGAAGAACAACUGGAGCUGGGCUUUUCUGUUUGCUAUCAGCCAAAAAAGAACUCAUCAAAUCGUGUUUCCGGUGGGCAAGCGUCUGACAAACUGGCCGAGGGCAGCAGUUGCAUCAGUAACUUCCAAACUUUGACCCAAGCACUGAGCUUUGAUGAAUUCAGAAACAUUUUGGCAGACUAGGUAAAUGUCUGUAAAUAGGGAGCUGGACUCUGGGUGUGGGGAUCAGCAAGGCAUCUGAUUAAAUGAGCAGAGAGGAGGCCAGCAUUCCGAUUCUGCUUCAGUGGCUCCAACCUUUUUUUGAUAGGAUGAAACGGUUUUUCAGUGAUAACAGUUUUCUGCGGGCCUCGGGGAAGUGGUUCACUUAGCAAAAUGCUUGCCCCAUACAAGGAUGAAGAGCUAGGUCAGAUCUCUAGCACCCACUAAAAAGCUGGGGAGCAGAGACAGGAGGAUUCCUAGACUUGCUGGCCAGCUGGCCUAGUAGAAUCAAUGAGCCCCAGGUGCAGCACAAGGCUCUUUCACAAACUAAGGUAAAGAAUUGUCUUACACGGGAUUCUGGGUUUCUAUCGCAAUGAUAAAACACCAGGACCAAAGGCAACUGGGGAGGAAAGGAUUUACGUCACUUACGCCU